rnacentral:rRNA from 1 species
GCCCUUUUCCGGUUGAUCCUGCCGGAAGCUACUGCUAUUGGGAUUCGACUAAGCCAUGCGAGUCAAGGUGUCUUCGGACGCCGGCAUACGGCUCAGUAACACGUAGGUAACCUACCCUCAGGACUGAGAUAACCCCGGGAAACUGGGGCUAAUAUUAGAUAGAUAAAAGAUACUGGAAUGUUCUUUUAUCCAAAGCUUUUGCGCCUGAGGAUGGGCCUGCGUCCGAUUAGGUUGUUGGUGGGGUAAUGGCCCACCAAGCCUGCGAUCGGUACGGGCAGUGAGAGCUGAAGCCCGGAGUUGGGGACUGAGACAAGGCCCCAGGCCCUACGGGGCGCAGCAGGCGCGAAACCUCUGCAAUGCGGGAAACCGUGACAGGGGGAUCCCAAGUGCUCAUGCAUUGCAUGGGCUGUUCUUUGGUCUAAGUAACCAGAGGAGUAAGGGCUGGGCAAGACCGGUGCCAGCCGCCGCGGUAAUACCGGCAGCUCAAGUGGUAGCCGCGAUUAUUGGGCCUAAAGCGUUCGUAGCCGGAUAAGUAAGUCUUUGGUUAAAUCCUGCGACUUAACCGUGGGAAAUCUAGAGAUACUGCUUGUCUUGAGACCGGGAGAGGUUGGAGGUACUCCCAGGGUAGGGGUGAAAUCCUGUAAUCCUGGGGGGACCACCUGUGGCGAAGGCGUCCAACUGGAACGGGUCUGACGGUGAGGGACGAAACCUAGGGGAGCGAGCCGGAUUAGA